GGGAUUGAGGUUUAGUUUGCUUUGUUAAGAGUUUAGUUUAAGUCAUUGUCCAUUUUGUUCUUCCUUUCUAAUGUUAACUUACCCCUCUUUUGGUUCCCCUUUGUCUCAUUGCGUUGGGUCUGUUUUAAUUCAUUUAUAUUUUCUCCUAGACUUAUUUCUAAUAGCUUUGUUGACUAAUGUCUAGUAAUAUAUUCUACAUUGAUUUCACUACUCUUACUUACUCAUUUGUAAAGAGUACAACGCCUGCUAAUGCUGCAAGCUUAGUUGUCCCUUUUUUUUUUUUUCUUUUUUUGAAGACUUUAAUCUUAUUUCAAGAAACUUAUUUACCUAUUAAAAGCAAUUAGUGUAAGUGCAGUAAUCAGGUAUGGCAAUAAAUAUCUCUACACCCAUGCACUUUGAAUCCACUCAUAUUUUUUAGAAGCUUUUGCAUGGUGUAUUUGCAUUUCCGUAGGUGUUAAAAACAUAAAUAUUAGACUGCUAACAGGCUUAGUGUAGCACCUCUGUAUUUGAAGACCCUGCUCCCUCCUGGAUAAAUGCCGUGCUGCUCCAUUAAGGGGUCCUCUGAUCCAAACAGAGGAGUUCAGGUGUGUCAGGAAGUAGGAGUAUGAGGGGCAGCGAGUUUGUCUGCAGAUUUAGUGCAUCACUUCCUACUCUGUGUUUUUCUGGUCAGUCUUCCAUGUUUCCCUGACCCACAGUCAUGAGGUUUCUGGGUAGUGACCGAAAGAGCGAGAUGGUGAAUACAAGGAACAGAGAGUGUAGGCCUCUCUUUGCGUGACAGGGUGAGGGAUUUAGUGAUCCAAAAGGACCUUGUAAUGUUUGCUGCUCCUUCACUUUGGCAGGAACUGCUAUGGAAGUUCAGGCUGCACCCGAGGGCACUGCCAUAUGGAAAGGUAGAGAAAAUGAUUUUUUUUCUCCUCAUACAAAAAGAAAGUCUUUCGUUUUUCCUUGUUCUUACUCCCUCUGAUUUAAAACCCUUGUGAGGAGGUUUGGGCUGGCUGUGAAACGGAUUGAAAUCAACAGCGAUGCCUUUUUAUGCCUUACAAAAGUAAACAACCAUCAGCUUCAAGAUUGACUAUCUCUAAAUAGUUAUUUCUAAUUCCUGACCAGAGGAUUGGAAGCACACUGAAGAAACUCUUUCCUCACAACUCAUAAUGAGUGUUAUUGACUGUAUAAGAAAACAGCAGUUCAUUACAGAAGCUUCAAGUCCAUCAUUUUGAAGAAUAUGUCUCUUUAAUCAGAGACAAAUGAUAGUGAAAGUUACAUUUCAUAGAUUGUAAACCAUCAAUUAUAUUUUGUACAAUUGCCCUUAGUUUGUGGUAAAACAUCUUAAAUUGACUAAAGUUCCUUGGUUGUCACCUUCAGCUGAUUUGAAAACUUCUGUCAAAAUACGACACCUUGAAAAAAGUGAAGAAAAGACAAAGCCCUUUCAUCAAACUGUGAACACACAAAGGUUUCUGCUAAGUUUAUGGCCUUUUAUCACACAAAGGUUUGACAGAGAGGCACAUGCAACAAAAGGCUCUGAUUAUGUUUAUUUAACUCAUUUGCCAUGGUAUUCAGAGGUUGUUUGAAUUUCCUCAAUAUGAAUUGAGGGGAAAAGGUAUGUUUAAAAAAGAUAAAAUAAGAACAAAUAUAAAGUACAAGUGUGUUUAAUUAAUGGAACAACUGUGAAAAUGAUUUGAAAGUGUGCGGUUUACUCAUUUAAAAAUAUGUUUGAAACCAAAAUACUAAAAAUAUUAGACAGGUCUGGACAAAAGUGUUUGUAAAAAUACUGAAACUUUUGGCUGUGUUAACUUGGAUUGUUCUCAUGAAAUUGUACAAGGUUUGUUGGGCUGUUUUAAAGUAUGUUCUGUCUGUUUUAAAGCCCUGGAGGCUGCCUCGCUUAAGUCGGUGUUUGUUUGUUGUUGUUUUUUUUCCCAUGAAAAGAUGUAGGAUAAAAUAAGCUGUAGCUUCAGCCUAUACACUUUUUCGAUUUGCUUCACUUCUUCCUCUCUUUUAUGAUGUGAAUUCUAUUUGUUAAAUAAAAAGCAAAUCUAAUGAAUGUAAAAUAAAAUGGACCGAAAAGAAAAAGUAUUUCUGUUUUUUUUUCUACUUUUAAUAGGAUCUGUAAUCAUCACAGUACAACAAAGAAAGCCCUGGCAUAACACAGUCCCUCUAAGUUGCCAUAUUACAAUUCAUCAGCCUAAACUAAACACUUCCUUUUUUUUUUUGGCUAUCCUGACAUAUGGCCAAUCUUGUUAAGUUGCCAAAAAAUCAAAUAAAAAUAGGUGCUAAAUGUAAGCUACUUUUCAUUUCAUUGACCAUUUGAGGGGCUAGCUUAUUAUGGUGGUGGUAGCUACCUCAAAUGUGAUGCUGUUUCUUCUGACUCCAGCUAGACGGUUUUCUGAAACCAUACAAUAAUUCAUACAUCAAUUGUCAAAUAUUUUGAAAACCAUUGCAGUUGAUAGCCAACUAUACCUCUUUUCAUGCCAUUGCAUUAGUGUUUUUACAAGCUUUUUUGUUAUUUUAUUCUACAGAAAAAUGCAACGUUCACCAUCUGAUGUGUGGAAGCAUUUUACACAAGCUAAUGUUGAAGGAAAAAUAUUUACAUUUAUGUUAGGAUAUGAUACAGCUUGUUCAAAUUACCCACAAUUUCCAGUUAAUUCCCAUAAAUUCCCAUACCUCUCAGGGGAAGUUUACCAUUUGGUAUAUUUUCAAAAUUCCCAGGCUUAACUUCACAUAGAAAGUUUCUGGAAAUGUACUGGUAAUUUACCAGAAAUUUUCCACUCUUUUGCAACCCUAAUCUAAGAGCACCUGGAGCAUCACCACCACCAAAGGUGAUCUUCCUGCUGGUGAGGUCCGGUCCAGAACCCAAGCAAGACGGAGGCCCCAGUUCUCCGAAGCCGGGCCCGAUGAUCAGGUGGACUGGCCCUGGUGGCUAGCAUGGGUCCUGUCCUUCAGCCUUUCCUGAGGCCCCGGCUCUCCCUAGCCAGGCCCAAAUAGUAGUAUCAAUAUUAAACUUUUCAAUUUGGCCACCAGACCUUUUUCCACAUCAUGGAAUUAACUUCUUUGCCAUUCAAAAGAAGGAUCACCCCAGGGUUGAAAAUGUUUAUGGCUGUGCCGUUCUAACAAGAGCUGCAGUCUGAAGGUUUCUCUUUCAUGAGUCUGGAGACCUAAUACAGUUGAUUCAUGACGAGUACAAUGUUUACUGUUAUUGUUUAAUCUUGUCGAAAACUGUUAAUUGUUCAUCUAGCCACUUCCUGGUGCCUUGUGUAAAGUCUAUUGACCAAACAGUGGCAUUGCUCCUGACUUUUCACAAACCAGAGGCUCGGUGACCAAACUGCUCUUAAAUAAAAAGUGUUUUCAGGGUGAAGAGUUCAUCUAUUUGGAAACUAAAUCAGCCCAAAUGUGACAAAAAAAUCUGUUGAUUUUUCUUUCCCCUGCAAAUAGUAUCACAGUGUUCUAAUGCAGUGUGGAAGGCAGUUUACUUCAGUUUCAUUCAAGAAAUUUUCAUUUUUCUUUUUUUUUCCCUUGGCAUCUUGACAUGGAAAUUGACUGAAAGUGAUGACAGAAGACAAACAGCUUUCCCAGUCAACAGAUGGCUUUUUGAGUGUUUGUCCAUUCACCCACAAUUGAUGCCUCAAGUGUCACACAAAUGAAACUUCACAACAGAGUCACUGGCAUUGCUGCUUUAGAAAAUUACUGCAAAAUCCUUUAGCAAUUUUCACAGGAAAAAUCUUGAAAGCCAUGGAGGAACUGAUUACUGAAACUGCAGUUUGGGGUCAAUCUGAACCUUAAUGAUGACAUAGGCAUAAAAAGUUAUGGAACUGAGCUUAUAGUGUUGCAUUCCAGCUACCUCGGAAGUUGAAUGUCAGAGCUGGGAAUGAUGUUACACCCGAGUUGAUGGUGUCCGACUACAGUUACCCGUUGUUAGCUGUUGUUUACAAUUGUCAGCUGUCGUUAGCUGUUGUUGGUUGUUGUUAGCUAUACCAGUUGUAAACAUAUAACACAGUAUUUUACUCGUACAAACACCGUAGCACCGUGUUCACAGUUAGACAUUGGGCAGUACAACAUAUACCACUUAUUUAAUAUCACAAAAACAAAAACGAAGUGCUAAUAAAUAAUACAUUGCGAGAGCUUUCACUGUUACUCUUUACUGUUGAUGCACAGAGCUGCUAUCUUGGAUUAUGAUGUUGUCGUCAAGUCGGGGUUGGUGAGGAUCAUACGACUUUCCGAGUUGGAAAUCUGACUUCAGGGGGGCGUUCCAAAUGAAUUUCCGACUUGGAGCUCGGAAAUUCCAACUUCUGAGUACAACUGGAAUGCAGCAUAAGUGACACACUUUGUGUAAAAGAUACAAAAGAAAACAUUUCGUAACUCUUUGUUAAAGACUUUUGAGCAGUUUUGCGAUCUCAGCAUAAAAUGGCAGCAAAACUGAGGCAUUAACUCACAAGAACCCUACAACACUGCAUCUACACCUUACAUCACUCCAUCACUUGCAUCCCUGCAACAUUAAAGAGUCAUUUCUGAUCUCACCAUCAGUCUCAAAAGAGUGACUGAGUUCUUACCGAGCUGCUGAUGAUAUAUGACUCACCAUGCUAAAGUAGCUGCACCACUGUUUCAUAUAUAUGAUUCAUAUCCCAACAGGCCCAACAGAACAAUUCAGCUGCCGGAAAUUGGUUGAAGAAUACAAAGCAGCAUUGGUACAUUAUUCCAUCUUUAUAUUUUUUUUUCAAGAAUGUUUGAAGAAUAAGUUUUCUGUAUAAAAUAAGUAACAGAAAAGGUGAUGAAAACCAUAGCUUAAAAGGAUUCAAGUUAUUCAAAAUAUGCAGCCCUGAUGUGUUGAGCAAUGGUGGCACAAAGAAACAUAGAAGAAGUUGCAAUCUUCAUAUUAUGCUGUUUGCAACCUCACUGGACCAAAGGCGGUUGAGGACAAACAACUUCACUAUACAGACUUUCAACACCUACAUCACAUCUAAAUUUGUAUUUAAUCAUUAUUUCUUUAGUGAGUUGAGAAUAAAUCCACAGAGGGUGUUUAACAGUCUACAAAAAGCACCAUUUUAUUGCAAUGAGGCCACUCCACGAUGUGACAGCAUGGCAGGAAAUUUCUCUUAACUAGAUGUUUCAGAAGCUAACCUCCAAAUUGAAGAAAUGGAAAAACGUAACAAACCAGGCGGCAGUGCUGUAGUACUCGAGUUGUACUCGAAGUCUGAUAUUCAGGACUUGUGACUCAAUUCAGCAUUGAACACUGGUGAUUUUGACUUUGACUGCACUGACCCCAGAAGGUGGAGAGCAAAACUCAAGCUUGUUAGUCUUUUUUACUUUAAAGGGGUGCUCACACCAAAUGCAAGUAAAAUCAUCGUGUAUCUAGAUGCGUGAAUAAAUAGUAUUAACUCACUUCAUUUGCGCGUCCACGGUAAUUUCAAUGGUAAGCCCUGCCAAUUCAACCGGCUGAAUCAAGUGAUGGAUAAAGGUUUUUUACAACUCACCAGGUAAUCCGACCUCCUCACUUGCCUCCAGGUGAGCUCCUUUUUAUUCCAGUUUCAGUAAUUGAAAGAAAAGGUAUCAUAUAAUUCGAGGCACCAACACACUGACACAAUCAGUUUGUCGUCCAUUUUAGAUACCAGUGAACAACCGUCCAUUUUCAUACGUCAUCCUGCAACCUUUGUGCUGAUUAGUUAUCACGAUGCAAAUAUCUGCUUAAGUUGAGACAUUUUCAGCUCCUGCCCAAUUUGUAUCAAUCGUGCCGCCAGAGUAGUAGGAGUGCCUAAUCACGUCUUUGCAUUGAUUUAACAUGUAAUUCAUUUGCGUGAAUGAUUUUACUCGCUCUUGGUGUGUGGAGACAGUAAGACGCCAAUAAUUUAUUCGGUUUUAAACUCUACCUGACCUUAUGGAGACUCAGUUUGGGCUUAAUAAGUUCUUCUUUGGUGACUCAGACUUAAUUCAGGCUUUAAAACUGAGCACUGUAUUCUCAACUUGAGAUUUGAGGACUCAGCUACAACACCAAUCAAUGUUUUCUGUUUGCAAAAAUGCAGGUUUGCAUGCAUGCACAGCACAAAAAGCACAACAGAUAAAACCACUUCAGAGCAUUACAUUUCCUCUAACCCACCUUCAUCUUCUCCAGUAUAGACAUGUGUGCAUGCACACCUGAAGACCUUAGAAGAUGAUGAAGUCCCUAGCCUCAGUCUAUCCUGAUGCAUGUUCUUUGAAGUGUAAUUCUCUGUAAUGUAAAAUGCAUGAAAGAGUUUGUUGAUUGAAAUGUUUUGUGAGAAUCCUGAUAGAGAGGGACAAUGAAAUAUAAAUGAACUCCAGAUAAAGUCUCAUCAUAGUGUAAACCCUUCCCAUAUUAUGAAAUCUGAAGAUGAGAAUGAUCUGCUGAUACACAGUAUAUGUUCUGAAAUAGUUUGAAAGUCGCUCUUUUUCUUUUCAUUUAGGUGGUUAAAUAGGGUAGAAAUGGCAUUUGAUCCAAAUACUGUAUCAUGGAUGCAUUUUUUUUCUAUAAAAGGGAGUCAAAAGUUCAGCUUUUGUUUGAAAAUCCUUCCAGAGUUACAAACGCAAUAUUAUGAUGCAUAAACUUUCUCUCCGCCAUGAAACUGUAUUCAUUAUUGCAGAUCCUUGACUCCUACUACGCUGCAUAAAACCAGGCUUGAAAUGUUAUAUUUAAAAGUUAACCUGCUGAUCCUGCUCAAUGCAAAAUACAUGCGGGCGGAAAGACUCCCAUUUUAACUAAAAAUGAAGGAAAAGCAUGCGUCUCUUUCUUCUCUCUGGGAGGGCAGAGCCACAGUCAGUAGAAUCAUCAUCCAUUUUUAUCACAGUACUAUCAGGAUAAUAAAAACAGGCUUUUUAAUGCUCACUUGAAAGGCUGCAGUUUUCAUCUUAGCUUGUUUUAGAAACACAAUCACACAAGUUUCCAAAACAAAAAAGGUAGCAAAUUCAGUUACUGACUAAAAAAGUUUAACCCUGAUUAAUCAUGUCCACAUUCAGACUAAUUUUACCCAAUUGUCUUGUGUGGAGGAAUCUGUUACGGAGCCAGACCAGGGAGGCUGUGAUAAAGCUGGAGGGUUCUUUUACACAGGUCUGCAAGCUUCAUUAAAAAGAUCAAUGUCCAAGGAAAAGCUCAUUAUUUGUUGCUGAAUCAGGUAAUAAACUUAGAUUGACCGAUGAGUUUUAAGAAAGGGUACUUGUUAGGUGGUUUGACAUUUAGCAGGACAGCAGGCUUUUCUUGCCUCUGUUGUUAUGAGAAACUGAACCAGGAAUCUAGCUUCUCAAGGUUACUUAAUGCUAUAACUUCAUUUGUCAGCUCUAAUAGAAGACAUAUAAUUAUGUCCCCAGGUUACACUGCAGUAACUCAGCCAAACUAUAACACUCCAACCAUCUCAGGAAACAUGAUGUGAAUAGCAGAGGUGCUUUCUGCAGCUGGCCUUGUGAUAGGGAACACUGUCAUCUAUUGUUAAAGUCAUAUGCCAUUCCUGAUACCCACCACAGGACUGAACAUUGACCAACCAAACCCUGUGAUAAAUAUAUGGACACUUAAACCAGGGUGAUGGUAAUUCUUUGAUUGAUGUUUUUGUACUGCCUUUGUUCAUAAAGAUGAUACGAAUGAACUUCUAUUGCUGCAUUGUUGACAUACACUAGCAGGGAAUCGCCUUGCUGAUUGGCUAUUGUGGCAGAUACCUUCGCCAUCAAUUCAUGGGAAAGAAGCGAGUAAUGACAUUUGCGUAAAUGAUCAGCUCUUCACUAUUCAUACUGCCUCAUGCACGC